CAAACUCGUCUAACGGUUACACGACUGCAAUGUUUUCAUAUAGGCCUACACGUUCAACCGUUUCGUAUGGCAGGGGCGAUGUUUUUUUUCGUCUGGCAGACAGUCAGACUUAUAGACAGAGUUAGACCGAGAGAUCUUUAUUUAUUAAUUUUACUGUUUGACUUCAAAGUGAUCAUCUGACUUUAGACUCCCGCUUUCACGGAGACAAAAGUAGCCAAUAGUGAGAGUGAAAUGAUUUGCCCCCCCUUAACCCUAGCUUGAGUUUAAAUGUAAAUUGGUUUUGGUAAAUGCCAUCACCUAAAUUGUAACUGCUCUUGCCUUUUUUCUUAUUCCUUAAGGUUUCCCAAAGCCGGUGACCAGCGAAGAAAAUGGGAAGUCGCUCUUAAAAGACAGGGUUUUGCUGCCAAUGACGAUACCAUGCUCUGCAGUAAACAUUUCAAGCCAGAGCAUUUUGACCGGACUGGUCAAACUGUCAGGAUCAGACUUGGUGUUGUUCCAUCCAUCUUUGCCUUCCCCGCUCAUCUUCUAAAAUCAACAGCCAGCACUGACCGGACCACCUCGAAUUCAAGGAGAGCCUACCAAUGGACAUCCCUCAAUAUGCCCCUGUUGAACCUGCAGCUCUGCCUCAGUCUCAGCUUGUUGACCACACUUAUGCUCUGUCCAGUUGCCCUUUGGCUCUUAAGGAGGGGUACAUUAAGGCAAAGGACAAUGAAAGCAGACUGCAGAGGGAAAAGGCGAAUACAAGGAAGCGUGAAUUGAGGGCAAAGAGUUCCUUGCAGGAUGUGCUGAUGGAGCUGAGGGAGAAAAACUUGAUGACUGAAGAACUAAGUCAGAGGGUUGGAUU